rnacentral:sRNA from 1 species
AUCUUCGCAGCAUCAUAAGUCGUGCCACUACCUCCUUCAUAUCAGGACGCUCGUCAAUCUUUUCGUUUAAACAUUCCAUCGCUAACCUACCAAUUUCUUCUAGGAUUAAGACAUCUUCCUCGAUGGCAAUAUCCUUGUCGAACAAUAACCUCCCACUAUUUGCUUGAUCAUAUGCCUCUUGGAACUCAAUAAUGAGGCUGCGGUUCUUGCCAUAUAUUGUUUGCCUUCUGCUGAUGAGCUCCAGCAAUACAACUCCAAAACUAAACACAUCACUUUUUUGUGUUAAGUGACCAGUCAUAUAGAACACUGGGUCUAUGUACCCCAUGCUUCCUGCCACAACCAUGGUGAAUUCUUUGUCUACAGUAAGAAGCUUGGAUGUCCCAAAGUCGGAGAUCUUUGCAACAAACUUGUCAGUUAGAAGUAUGUUGGCGGGCUUAACAUCACCAUGCCGUAUGGUAUGACUUAUGGACGAGUGCAUGUAUCUUAGACCUUCUGCAGAUUCAAUUGCAAUGUCUAGGCGUAGAUCUAGUGUGAGAGGGACUAGGUGACUGGCAUCACUAUGGAGAAUGUCUUUUAGGCUACCAUUAGCGGCAAACUCAUAUACCAACAUUGGAACAUCCAUCUCCAAACAACAGCCCAAUAGCUUGAUAAUGUUAUUGUGCAUCAUUCGCGAUUGUAUGAUAACUUCGUUUGUGAAAUCCUCCUUUUGAGCUUCAGUUACCUCAAUUGAAGUCGUCACUGCUACCAGGGUAUUGUCUUUAAGUCUACCUUUGUAGACCUUACCAAAGCCUCCUUGACCAAUAACUUCUGAAUUGUUUUUUAGGAUUUUCUUCAUCUCAUCUUUGGAGAAAAUCACAAUAUUGUCCACAUUCUGUAGUAUUGAACCACCAUUCUUUUUGAAAUAUUCUCAAAGUAUGCAUGAAAAUAAAUCAGUGUAAAAUUAAUUCAAUUUACUCAAAAUAGUAUACACGGAGGUACAUAAAUAGUCGCAUACCAAGGGCAAGCUGUGCUGCAACUGGAAACUUUGGAUUGCACUCCUGUUUCUUUGGACCACCACCACUUGGCUGGUAACCAGUAUGACAGCUGCAUUCGUAAUCUCCUACAAUGUUCUUGCAAACCCCAUAGCAGGGGUACUUAAUUAAAUGCAUGAGCAAACAUUCUUACCCUGGCAUCCAUCGUUGUCGUAGGGAUUACCCUCGUAACCAUUGCUGCAAUUGCAGUAGUAUCCCGGGCCAUUGGUGGAGUUGACGCACUCGCUGUUGGCGCUCACACAGGCAUACCCGGCCGGCUUCUUCUUCUCCACCUCCGGCGCCGGGCAGGACGCCACGGAGGAGUCGUUGCCGCGGCGGUCACGGAUGGCCCAGUCUAGCCACACCGGCAUCCUCCGGUUCAACUCCAUUUUGAGAUCCGACCUCCGGAAUCGGUACUCCUCCUUGUCGACGAGGAAGGCAUAGUCGCAGGGGCUGAAGUCCACCUGUUCGCCGCGCGGCCAUUGCUCGAAGUAGACGACGUUGUCGGUGAGCUCCGGCGGGAUGUCGACGUGGCAGCAGCCGACGCCGGCGCACUUGCCGUCCAUGGCGCUCCGCGAGUCGCUGCAGUAGGUGACACAGCCGGCGUAGUAGAGGUUGCGGUAGAGGCCUUUGCCACCGCUGUCCCCGUGCUGGUUCCACGCCACGGUGUUGCAGCCGAUGACGACGAACAUGUUGCGCUCGUCGGAGAUGCGGUACACGCCCUCGUUGUUGAGCUCCACGUCGCCGUCGAACUGCCUGGUGACGUUGCCGCCGGAGUUGUAGCACGUGUACGCCACCGGCAGCAUCACCUUCACCUCCGGCCGCGGGAACACCGUCAGCUUCUGGACCUGGAUGGCAUGGCGGCGGGCGGCGGCGAGGGUGGGCACUAGGACACCGGUGCUGUUGGUGGUGUUGCAGGCGAUGUCGAAGCCGUCCCCGCGGGAGCAGUUGGGGCCGAUGCCGAAUGGAUAAGGGAUAUCGACGUCGCCGCACCUAUCCGGGCAGCCGGUGAUUCCGUCGGCGGCGAAAGCGAAACGGAGAAGAAGCAGCAGGCCGCCGGCGGCAAUUAGCCAGAACGCCAUUCAACUUCUGUGCAACAGCU